rnacentral:ncRNA from 1 species
UGGUAUCCGUGAAUGGAGCGGAGAGGAAUUUAAACUGGAACCGGGUGAAAGGCCCGGACAAGGCCGUUGCUGUGAUCAGCGUUAAGUCAGAUCAUUAACCACUGGCAUUUUGGCGUAUGCUUAAAGCCGGGAAGGGAUCUGAUCUGCAGGCAUUUUCUGCCUGCCGCUGUAAGUCAGAAUACAGGCCUGUGCC